AUCCAACGAUUGGGAGUGGCAUAUCAUUUCGAAAACGAAAUCAAAACAUCCAUUCAGAAUAUUUUUGAUGAAUCCGAACAAAAUAAAAAUGAAGAUAACGACGAUGAUCUUUGCGUUGUUGCUCUUCGUUUUAGACUAGUGAGACGACAAAGGCAUUACAUGUCUUCUGAUGUGUUCAAAAAAUUCACCAACGACAACGGAAAAUUCAAGGAAACUCUUACUAAAGAUGUUCA